rnacentral:rRNA from 1 species
UACGUAGGGUGCAAGCGUUGUCCGGAAUUAUUGGGCGUAAAGCGCACGUAGGCGGUCCCUUAAGUCGGGUGUGAAAGCCCUCGGCUUAACCGAGGAAGUGCAUUCGAAACUGGGGGACUUGAGUACUGGAGAGGAUGGCGGAAUUCCCGGUGUAGAGGUGAAAUUCGUAGAUAUCGGGAGGAACACCAGCGGCGAAGGCGGCCAUCUGGACAGAUACUGACGCUGAGGUGCGAAAGCGUGGGGAGCAAACAGG